AUUGAACGCUGGCGGCAUGCUUUACACAUGCAAGUCGAACGGUAACAGGCCGCAAGGUGCUGACGAGUGGCGCACGGGGGAGUAAUGCAUCGGAACGAGCCCAGUCGCGGGGGAUAACUACUCGAAAGAGCAGCUAAUACCGCAUACGAUCUAUGGAUUAAAGCGGGGGACCGUAAUGCCUCGUGUGAUUGGAGCGGCCGAGUUCGGAUUAGGUAGGUCGUGGGGUAAAGGCUCACCAAGCCAACGAUCUGUAGCGGCACUGAGAGGACGAGCAGCCACCCUGGGACUGAGACACGGCCCAGACUCCUACGGGAGGCAGCCGUGGGGAAUUUUGGGCAAUGGGCGCAAGCCUGAUCCAGCAAUGCCGCGUGCAGGAAGAAGGCCUUCGGGUUGUAAACUGCUUUUGUACGGAACGAAACGGCUCUGGUUAAUACCCGGAGCUAAUGACGGUACCGUAAGAAUAAGCACCGGCUAACUACGUG
rnacentral:rRNA from 1 species